rnacentral:rRNA from 1 species
AUUGAACGCUGGCGGCAUGCUUUACACACGCAAGUCGAACGGCAGCGCGGGCUUCGGCCUGGCGGCGAGUGGCGAACGGGUGAGUAAUACAUCGGAACGUGCCCAGUAGUGGGGGAUAGCUCGGCGAAAGCCGGAUUAAUACCGCAUACGACCUGAGGGUGAAAGCGGGGGAUCUUCGGACCUCGCGCUAUUGGAGCGGCCGAUGGCAGAUUAGCUAGUUGGUGGGGUAAAGGCCUACCAAGGCGACGAUCUGUAGCUGGUCUGAGAGGACGACCAGCCACACUGGGACUGAGACACGGCCCAGACUCCUACGGGAGGCAGCAGUGGGGAAUUUUGGACAAUGGGCGAAAGCCUGAUCCGGCAAUGCCGCGUGUGUGAUGAAGGCCUUCGGGUUGUAAAGCACUUUUGGCGGGAACGAAAAGGACUGUGCCAAUACCACGGUUCGAUGACGGUACCCGCAGAAUAAGCACCGGCUAACUACGUG